GAAAGGUUUUUCGGUCCUGUAGCCGGUUAAAAGGGAAUCGGGUGAGAAUCCCGAGCGGGCCCGCCACUGUGACCGGGGAAGCGAGCCGACAUCAUGCCACUAUCCUUGCGAUGGGAAGGCGUUGGUAAGCAAUGAGCCGGGAGCCAGGAGACCUGCCGAAAAAU
rnacentral:ncRNA from 1 species